rnacentral:rRNA from 1 species
ACCUGCCCUCUUCCGGGGAACAACCUUGCGAAAGUAAGACUAAUGCCCCAUGUGUCCUCAGACGGCAUCAGACGAGGACGAAAGAUUUAUCGGAAGUGGAUGGGGAUGCGCCUGAUUAGGCAGUUGGCGGGGCAACGGCCCACCAAGCCGACGAUCAGUAGGGGUUCUGAGAGGAAGGUCCCCCACAUUGGAACUGAGACACGGUCCAAACUCCUACGGGAGGCAGCAGUGAGGAAUAUUGGUCAAUGGGCGAGAGCCUGAACCAGCCAAGUAGCGUGCAGGAUGACGGCCCUAUGGGUUGUAAACUGCUUUUGCGCGGGGAUAAAGUGCGCCACGUGUGGCGCAUUGCAGGUACCGCGCGAAUAAGGACCGGCUAAUUCCGUGCCAGCAGCCGCGGUAAUACGGAAGGUCCGGGCGUUAUCCGGAUUCAUUGGGUUUAAAGGGAGCGCAGGCCGCCCCUUAAGCGUGUUGUGAAAUGCCGCGGCUCAACCGUGGCACUGCAGCGCGAACUGGGGGGCUUGAGUGCGCGCAGCGCAGCGGAACUCGUGGUGUAGCGGUGAAAUGCUUAGAUAUCACGAAGAACUCCGAUCGCGAAGGCAGCCUGCGGGAGCGCAACUGACGCUGAGGCUCGAAAGUGCGGGUAUCGAACAGGAUUAGAUACCCUGG